UAUCUGCUGUGGGCGCGCGAAAUUUGCGGAGGUAUCUCUUUAGUACGAAAGGAUUUAGAGGUACGCGGCUCUGGUGUUCCAGUUGUUAUGCCAAUAGCACGGCUGGGUAGCUAACCGCGGAACGGAUAAACGCUGAAAGCAUAUAAGCGUGAAGUCAUCUCCAAGAUAAGAUUUCGUAGACGUACGUUGAGAGUCCCCACCGAGACGAGGUGGUAGAUAGGCCGGACGUGUGAGUUUAGCAAUAGAUUGAGCGAACCGGUACUAACGGACGAAAGUUUGAUCGC
rnacentral:rRNA from 1 species